AGGGGGAGGGUGGCCGAACCCCCCGGGGCGUGCAAGGGUCGUGUUUUAUGGGCAAAAACAGGUGGAUUUGAGUGGGAUCCAAGAGGUUGGUGCACGCCCCUAGGCAAGACGUAGCGGUUGGCUCAGUCGGAUGACGUUUCCCUGUAACCAUCACCGUAAACCGGUCCUUUAGUAUCCGUACGGGGAUCUGGGUCUGAGGUGUAUUGCAUGAGGUGUAGCACCAUGAAAUUGACGAUUUGAGGUCCGCCGCGCAAGAACGUGUUAAUCCGGUGUCGUCCACGAUACUUGGGAGCCGUUGCCCUGGUCAUGUAAACGUUCCCAGUCGGUAUGAUUCCCCAAAAAUGUGAUUGCCGCGUUACAUUUUUCGUGUUCCAUGGGCUGCUUCUCCUCAGUCGCUCUGGGUGGUCAUCAAUGUUAACCACGGAUAAUGCGCUUAUCCGGUGUCGUCCAUGAUACUUGGGAGUCGAUGCCCUGGUCUCGUAAACGUUCCCAGUCAGUAUGAUUCUCCAAAAAGGUGAUUGCCGCGUUACGUUUUCGUGUUCCAUAUGGGCUGCUUCUCCUCAGUCGCUCUGGGUGGUUAUCCGCGGUAGGCACAUUCCAUCGCCUCUAGUCCCUUCAGAGAAAUGUUGCCCCAAGAUGGUAUCGUUAUUGGUGUAACACCCGUGUGUCGUGGACACUCAGGACGCCUUCGUGCAGGCCAUUCCCCCGUGCUAUGCGUGGGGGGAGGCUUGGUUGGCUUGACCGAUGUGGAUACGCGAGCGGAUGAGUAGCUUUGGACCCGUGUUUGUUGUUAGAUCCCCCAUCCUCGUGCGGCCGACUAGCGACACCGUGUCCCAUCAUUCGUGUGGCUUAUGUUACUGUUGCCUUUCAAGUGCUUG
rnacentral:misc_RNA from 1 species